rnacentral:piRNA from 1 species
UGAUGUUCUUCAUCAUGGCUGCCAUGC